AUUUAAAAAAAAUGUACCACGUAGGACUACCCAGCUAGCAGCCCUGACGAAUCGAAGUGUGCCGCGUGGCAAGGCACACUGACGCGGAGCCAUGCCGGAGGCCACGCUAGUAAUUCGCGUGCCCGCGAUAGAACAGUCCAGAUUUGUUCCCGUGCGCGCAGACGGUCCAAAUCCGUUCUCUCCUCAGGCAUUAUCGGAUGGUUGCGAUUAAACACGAUGAAUGGUUCAGAUUCAUUUUUUAUUUAAACUCGAUCGGACGGUUGAGAUCAAACACAAUAGAUGACCCAGAUUAAAGGAAAAUGGAUAUAAAUACCUCAUUUCAGACCGAACCCUAACCUUAGCUACCAACCGCUCGCUGGAGAAUAAGAACCAGUCUCCGAAAAAGGGAGCCAACCGCCGCCCGCUGCCAAAAAAGGUAAAAAAUUUCUUAUUUGCUCAAAAUUUGAUUUUGAACACCCUAUGGCCAAAUCGGAGUAAAAGAAUCGUCAGAUGAGCCGUAAACUGCGGGUAAAGCCUGGUAGCACCGUUGCGGGAAAAAUAAAAAAUUGCCUCCUAUG
rnacentral:lncRNA from 1 species